rnacentral:rRNA from 1 species
GUUGAACGCUGGCGGCGGGCCUAACACAUGCAAGUCGAACGAGUGGCGAACGGGUGAGUAAUGUGUGAGAAACUGGCUGAUGGGGGGGGGACAAUACUGGAAACGGUAGCCUAUACCCGCAUCCCUAGGAUGAGCCCAGCAGGGAUUAGCUAGUAGGUGGGGUAAAGGCUCACCAAGGCGACGAUCCCUAGCUGGUCUGAGAGGAUGACCGGCCACACUGGAACUGAGACACGGCCCAGACUCCUACGGGAGGCAGCAGUGGGGAAUAUUGCACAAUGGACGAAAGCCUGAUGCAGCAAUGCCGCGUGUAUGAAGAAGGCCUUCGGGUUGUAAAGUACUGUCAGCGGGGAGGCGUUACCCGCAGAAGAAGCACAGGCUUACUUCGUGCCAGCCGCCGCGGUAAUAC